AGAUUAAGUUAUUAAGGGCGCACGGUGGAUGCCUUGGCACUAGAAGCCGAUGAAGGACGUUACUAACGACGAUAUGCUUUGGGUAGCUGUAAGUAAGCGUUGAUCCAGAGAUUUCCGAAUGGGGGAACCCAGCAUGAGUUAUGUCAUGUUAUCGACAUGUGAAUUCAUAGCAUGUCAGAAGGCAGACCCGGAGAACUGAAACAUCUUAGUACCCGGAGGAAGAGAAAGAAAAAUCGAUUCCCUGAGUAGCGGCGAGCGAAACGGGAAGAGCCCAAACCAACAAGCUUGCUUGUUGGGGUUGUAGGACACUCUAUACGGAGUUACAAAAGAACAUGUUAGACGAAUCAUCUGGAAAGAUGAAUCAAAGAAGGUAAUAAUCCUGUAGUCGAAAACAUAUUCUCUCUUGAGUGGAUCCUGAGUACGACGGAGCACGUGAAAUUCCGUCGGAAUCUGGGAGGACCAUCUCCUAAGGCUAAAUACUCUCUAGUGACCGAUAGUGAACCAGUACCGUGAGGGAAAGGUGAAAAGUACCCCGGAAGGGGAGUGAAAGAGAACUUGAAACCGUGUGCUUACAAGUAGUCAGAGCCCGUUAAUGGGUGAUGGCGUGCCUUUUGUAGAAUGAACCGGCGAGUUACGAUCUGAUGCAAGGUUAAGCAGCAAAUGUGGAGCCGCAGCGAAAGCGAGUCUGAAUAGGGCGUUGAGUAUUUGGUCGUAGACCCGAAACCAGGUGAUCUACCCUUGGUCAGGUUGAAGUUCAGGUAACACUGAAUGGAGGACCGAACCGACUUACGUUGAAAAGUGAGCGGAUGAACUGAGGGUAGCGGAGAAAUUCCAAUCGAACUUGGAGAUAGCUGGUUCUCUCCGAAAUAGCUUUAGGGCUAGCCUCAAGUGAUGAUUAUUGGAGGUAGAGCACUGUUUGGACGAGGGGCCCCUCUCGGGUUACCGAAUUCAGACAAACUCCGAAUGCCAAUUAAUUUAACUUGGGAGUCAGAACAUGGGUGAUAAGGUCCGUGUUCGAAAGGGAAACAGCCCAGACCACCAGCUAAGGUCCCAAAAUAUAUGUUAAGUGGAAAAGGAUGUGGCGUUGCCCAGACAACUAGGAUGUUGGCUUAGAAGCAGCCAUCAUUUAAAGAGUGCGUAAUAGCUCACUAGUCGAGUGACACUGCGCCGAAAAUGUACCGGGGCUAAACAUAUUACCGAAGCUGUGGAUUGUCCUUUGGACAAUGGUAGGAGAGCGUUCUAAGGGCGUCGAAGCAUGAUCGCAAGGACAUGUGGAGCGCUUAGAAGUGAGAAUGCCGGUGUGAGUAGCGAAAGACGGGUGAGAAUCCCGUCCACCGAUUGACUAAGGUUUCCAGAGGAAGGCUCGUCCGCUCUGGGUUAGUCGGGUCCUAAGCUGAGGCCGACAGGCGUAGGCGAUGGAUAACAGGUUGAUAUUCCUGUACCACCUAGUAUCGUUUUAAUCGAUGGGGGGACGCAGUAGGAUAGGCGAAGCGUGCUGUUGGAGUGCACGUCCAAGCAGUAAGGCUGAGUGUUAGGCAAAUCCGGCACUCAUAAGGCUGAGCUGUGAUGGGGAGAGGAAAUUGUUUCCUCGAGUCGUUGAUUUCACACUGCCGAGAAAAGCCUCUAGAUAGAUAACAGGUGCCCGUACCGCAAACCGACACAGGUAGUCAAGAUGAGAAUUCUAAGGUGAGCGAGCGAACUCUCGUUAAGGAACUCGGCAAAAUGACCCCGUAACUUCGGGAGAAGGGGUGCUCUUUAGGGUUCACGCCCAGAAGAGCCGCAGUGAAUAGGCCCAAGCGACUGUUUAUCAAAAACACAGGUCUCUGCUAAACCGUAAGGUGAUGUAUAGGGGCUGACGCCUGCCCGGUGCUGGAAGGUUAAGAGGAGUGGUUAGCUUCUGCGAAGCUACGAAUCGAAGCCCCAGUAAACGGCGGCCGUAACUAUAACGGUCCUAAGGUAGCGAAAUUCCUUGUCGGGU
rnacentral:rRNA from 1 species